GAUGAACGCUAGCGGCAGGCCUAAUACAUGCAAGUCGAACGGUGUCUUCGGACAUAGUGGCGCACGGGUGCGUAACACGUAUGCAACCUACCUUACAUUGGGGGAUAGCCUUUCGAAAGGGAGAUUAAUACCGCAUAAGACAGUAGCUGGGCAUCCAGCAGCUGUUAAAGAUUUAUCGAUGUAAGCUGGGCAUGCGUCCAAUUAGCUAGUUGGUGAGGUAACGGCUCACCAAGGCAAUGAUUGGUAGGGGAACUGAGAGGUCAAUCCCCCACACAGGCACGGAGAUACGGGCCAGACUCCGACGGGAGGCAGCAGUAGGGAAUAUUGGGCAAUGGACGCAAGUCUGACCCAGCCAUGCCGCGUGCAGGAUGAAGGCGUUAUGCGUUGUAAACUGCUUUUAUACAGGAAGAAACGACUCUUGCGAGAGGCAUUGACGGUACUGUAUGAAUAAGCACCGGCUAACUCCGUGCCAGCCGCCGCCGUAAAAC
rnacentral:rRNA from 1 species